GAACGAACGCUGGCGGCAGGCCUAACACAUGCAAGUCGAGCGCCCAGCAAUGGGAGCGGCGGACGGGUGAGUAACGCGUGGGAAUUUUUCCUGGAGUACGGAACAACCGAGGGAAACUUCGGCUAAUACCGUAUGACGCCGAGAGGCCAAAGAUUUAUCGCUCUGGGGUGAGCCCGCGUCAGAUUAGGUAGUUGGUGGGUAAAGGCCUACCAAGCCUGCGAUCUGUAGCUGGUCUGAGAGGACGAUCAGCCACACUGGGACUGAGACACGGCCCAGACUCCUACGGGAGGCAGCAGUGGGGAAUCUUGCGCAAUGGGCGAAAGCCUGACGCAGCCAUGCCGCGUGAGUGAAGAAGGUCUUAGGAUUGUAAAGCUCUUUCGCUCGUGACGAUGAUGACGGUAACGAGAGAAGAAGCCCCGGCUAACUUCGUGCCAGCCGCCGCGGUAAC
rnacentral:rRNA from 1 species